rnacentral:rRNA from 1 species
AUUGAACGCUGGCGGCAGGCCUAACACAUGCAAGUCGAGCGAGCGGCGGACGGGUGCGUAAUGUCUGGGAAACUGCCUGUUGCAGGGGGAUAACUACUGGAAACGGUAGCUAAACCCGCAUCCAAUCAGAUGUGCCCAGAUGGGAUUAGCUAGUAGGUGGGGUAACGGCUCACCUAGGCGACGAUCCCUAGCUGGUCUGAGAGGAUGACCAGCCACACUGGAACUGAGAAACGGUCCAGACUCCUACGGGAGGCAGCAGUGGGGAAUAUUGGAAAAUGGGCGCAAGCCUGAUGCAGCCAUGCCGCGUGUGUGAAGAAGGCCUUCGGGUUGUAAAGCACUGUCAGCGGGGAGGCGUUACCCGCAGAAGAAGCACCGGCUAACUCCGUGCCAGCAGCCGCGGUAAUUC